rnacentral:misc_RNA from 1 species
GAUGAAGAACGUAGCGAAAUGCGAAAAGUAAUGUGAAUUGCAGAAUUCAGUGAAUCAUCGAAUCUUUGAACGCACAUUGCGCCCGCUGGUACUCCGGCGGGCACGCCUGUCCGAGCGUCAUUUCAACCCUCAAGCCCUCCUUCGGGAUGGGCCUGGUGUUGGGGCUCGGCCGCCAUCUCCGGCGGCCGUCCCCUAAAUACAGUGGCGGUCACGUCGCGACUCCUUUGCGUAGAAGAAACACCUCGCUCCGGAUAGCAACGCGGUCCACGCCGUAAAACCCCCAAUUUUCAAUGGUUGACCUCGGAUCAGGUGGGAAUACCCGCUGAACUUAAGCAUAUCAAUAAGCGGAGGA